UACGGAGGAGGCAAGCGUUAUCCGGAAUUAUUGGGCGUAAAGCGUCCGUAGGUGGCUAGUCAAGUCUGCGGUCAAAGACUGGGGCUUAACCCUGGAAAGGCCGUGGAAACUGACGAGCUAGAGUGCAGUAGGGGUAGAGGGAAUUCCCGGUGUAGCGGUGAAAUGCGUAGAGCUCGGGAAGAACAUCGGUGGCGAAAGCGCUCUACUGGACCGCAACUGACACUCAGGGACGAAAGCUAGGGGAGCGAAUGGG
rnacentral:rRNA from 1 species